GGUUUUGCAUCCAAUUGAUUCUAACUCAAUCUUAAAUGAACAUGCAUUUAUCUUAAAUACUGCUAAUUUUAUUUAAUCUAUAUCUUAAUCUUAAAUGCGAUGGAAAGAUUUUGAUCGCAUUGAAUUUGAUCUAGAGAUGAAAUCUUUGAUUGCAUAACAAAGGGGCAAAAUUUCAUAACUAACAUGGAGGUGCUGAAUUGUAAAAUAUUCUUGCAAAGAGUCCGUGCUUUGGUAUAGAAAUGUGCAUGAGCAUUAUGGUUGACUUGA
rnacentral:lncRNA from 1 species